CAAAUACACCCUCCGUCCGAAAAUACUUGUCAUCAAAAUGGAUAAAAGGAAAUGUAUCUAGACAUAUUUUAGUUUUAGAUACAUCUCUUUUUAUCCAUUUUGAUGACAAGUAUUUUCGGACGGAGGGAGUAGAAA
rnacentral:pre_miRNA from 1 species